CUCUUUGUUUUUACCUUCCUUGCUGUGCGAUUUUCUCCCUCUUCAUCGUUCCCUCUUUUGCUGCCAAAUCUUUGCUCUUUCUUCGCAGAAUAGUCGUUAGAAGAGAUCCUGACUUUAAUUUUAUUUUGGAUUUGGUUUCGGGUCUUCUCCGGUGUGCAACCCUUUGUUUGAUUUUAUUGGGCGUUUUGUUUCCGGUCUUCUCCGGUGACGAACCCUUUGUUGGCCAGCGUUUUGUUCUCAUCUUGCCAUCGUCGGUUUAUGAAGAGCAUGUUUGUAGGUUGAUAAAUUAUGAAAUCUAUGAAAACUGGGCAGAUUGAUAAAUUACAUACGUGCUCUUUAUUUGUAGAAUUAUGUACUUUAUUUGAUGCAUGUUUGUAGAGCCAGUUUUAAACAAAAACACCUAAAAAAUUCUCCCAGCAAGUAGUUAGCAAUAUUCCUGACUUUUCCAGUUCUGAAAACAAUUAGAUGCAUACAAAUUUAUUCCUGCUUAUUGUUGUUUUACAGCAUAACCAGCUUUUCUGUAUAGCAUGGCCUCCAAUCAUCAUUCAUUUGAAGAAAAAUGGUCAUUCCCAAAUCAUGCUAAACCAGCCUUCUUUCCUGCACAAAAAAAUGGAUUUUGCAACAGCGGUUGCAUGGGAAGCAGGGAAGCUGUUGGUGAUGGAGAGGGUGAAGGUUGCUCCACCUAAGGCCAUGGAAAUGAGGAUAAAGGUCAAAUAUACCUCAGUUUAUCAUAUUGAACUCUACUUCUGCCGAAGGCACAUUUACUUCGAGUGAAUACAUUGUUGUUCAUUCUGGCCGUCUUUCCAAAAUCAAGCCCCUUGCUCAGUUGGACAAAGUUUGCAUCCUUAGUUGUGCCAUACCAACAGGUUUGGGUUCCCCUCUCAAUGUAGCAAAACGAAAAAUUAUCCUCAGUUGUUUAUUGGCCUCGCUGCUACUAAAGGUGGAAAAAUUUCUGAGGUGCCAGAGUAUUGGGUGGAGUCGGUGGACUUGAAGCCCAAGAGGUUUGAUGAAGCUAAGGAAAAGACCAAGACAUCAACCAGUGCAGAAGCUCCUGAUAGGACUAAUUGCAGAUAGCACUACAAAUGAGCACUACAAUUUUAAGCUUGAUGUUGCAAGAGAAAAAUUCUGGACAAAGCAAAAAAUAACAUGAUGACCAAGAAAAAGAUGGUCAUUCCCAAACAAGCAAGACCAAAAGAUUGACCAGGAAAAAUCAUAAACACUGAGCAGAUGUGUGGUGCCAAGCUUCUGAUAUGAACAUGAAUAUUUUUCGUAUUUGAACGAUUUUAAUAUUGUGAACUUCUGUACAUGAAUAUAGCUUUCAUAACAUCUCUAUCUUUAUAACAACCACUUGCAAGUUUCUCUAUCUUGGUGUCCACCCUUUGCAAGUUUCUCUGUCCGAUUAUUCACCUUCGUUUUUCUUCCAGAAAAUUGCUCGAUUCAUGAACGGUGGAGGGGCUACAGAUUUCUGCCUUUUCAAUUUGAUUGAAAUCUGUUUUUUGCUUGCGUAGUCUAACGUGUUCGGGUGAUUUUUGCAUUUUUUUAGCGUAUGUGAUUUCGUUUUUUAGGUGGUUCUCAAUUGGAUUCCACAGUAAAACCCAGAAACUUAGAGUAAAAACCUUGAAACUUAAAAGGCAUGAGGCACCUCCACGCCUCCCAAUCUGCCGACGUUAGAGCGCUCACCACAUGUUCGUCAUUAAUCCUCAAACAGUCGAACCCACUUCUCUCUCCCUCUCCGUCUCCGUAUGUGUAUGCGCUGUUGCACCAUCUGUAUGUCGUUAGAAACUACUUGAGCAGCCGCGAUCUCAGAUUUUCAGUUUCUAAACAAUGACAUGAUGCGACUGUUCAAAGUGCUUUUAUCAUUAAGGAUUGUUUUGUUGCAAAAAGCAAGGCCAAUUUGUUUAGGGCUUGAAGAUUUCUACAUUCACCAGGUUUAUCUUCGACUCCAGGUACUUUGUUCCAUUAACAACUUAAAGUCAGUUGCAACCACAGAGUUUGGUUAUGAUUGGGUAAAAUAAGCUGAUUAUCUGCCUAUUUCAUGAGGAUAUCAAUAGGGACUAUCUACCCAAUCUUUUGUGUGUAAAUAGUAUGUAAAUACACAUCAAAUAUUAUCUUUUGUAUGUAAAUUUGUAAAAGAUGUGAAUAUUAGAACGAUGGCAAUAGAACUGCCAAUUCAUAUCGUUGUAAAUAGAUUUCUGUAUGUAUAUAAAUUGUAUUGCA